rnacentral:lncRNA from 1 species
GGAAUUGACAUUUGUUGAAUGCCUAUUACAGGUUGGGAACCACAGAGGCACUUUUUUUUCCCAUAAGUUUACUAUUUUAAUUCUCAUGACAUUGCUGUGAGUCAGGCAUGAUUAUUCCUGUUUGAACAGAAGAGAAAACUGAAGCCAGUGAAGUUGCACGACUUGAUGAAGAGCACAUGACUAACCAAGUGUGGAACUGGAACCGGAAACCAAGCCUUUGGACAUGGCUCAGUGCUUUGCAUAGUAAUGGUGACAUGAAUAUAACUGAGUAUUGCAUUCUCUGCUUGAUAUUUUGAGCAUUUUAUAAAGGAAGAUUAGCCCUGAGCUAACAUCUGCCACCAAGCCUCCUCUUUUGCUGGGGAAGACUGGCCCUGAGCUGGCAUCCGUGCCCAUCUUCUUCUACUUUAUAUGUGGGAUGCCUGCCACAGCAUGGCUUGACAAAUGGUUGUAGAUGGGCAAUGGCGGAGAGAAAAAUACUGUUGAAAAUUCUCAGUUUUGUACUGCUUUGAAAUUUGGGCACAAUUUGUAACCUAAACUCCUCAAUAGUUAGUAUAACUAUUGUUUUUCUUCGAUUAUCAGAGUUACAUGUUCUUCAUGUUUUGACAUACUUGAAACCUGUAUGUUUCCUAAAACAGCAACAUCAAAAGAAACGUGUUCCAAUU